AUCCAGGAAACAAUGAUGUUUAAUUCAAGCACAUAUCUGAACACUUUUAUGUGGAUAGUCCCAUUGGCUGAGUUUCCUGGAU
rnacentral:snoRNA from 13 species